AUACGUAGGUGACAAGCGUUAUCCGGAUUUACUGGGCGUAAAGGGCGUGUAGGCGGUCUUGCAAGUCAGAAGUGAAAUUCCUGAGCUCAACUCGGGCGCUGCUUCUGAAACUGCAGGACUUGAGUGCUGGAGGGGAUAGCGGAAUUCCUAGUGGAGCGGUAAAAUGCGCAGAUAUUAGGAAGAACACCGGGGACGAAGGCGACUUUCGGGACAGAAACUGACGCUGAGGCGCAAACGCGUGGGGAGCAAACAGGAUGAGAUACCCUGGUAGUCCACGCCGUAAACAAUGAAUACUAGGUGUAGGGGGUAUCGACUCCCUCUGUGCUGCAGUUAACACAAUAAGAAUUCCGCCGGGGGAGUACGGCCGCAAGGUUGAAACUCAAAGGAAUUAGCGGG
rnacentral:rRNA from 1 species